rnacentral:rRNA from 1 species
CCCUUAGAUGUCCUGGGCCGCACGCGCGCUACACUGAACGGAUCAGCGCGUUUUCCCUUCCCGAGAGGGACGGGUAACCUGCUGAACCCCGUUCGUGGUAGGGAUCGGGGCUUGCAAUUAUUCCCCGUGAACCAGGAAUGCCCAGUAAGUGCAAGUCAUAAGCUUGCGUUGAUUACGUCCCUGCCCUUUGUACACACCGCCCGUCGCUCCUACCGAUUGAAUGGUCCGGUGAAGCGUUCGGACCGUGGCCUUUGGACGGUUCGCCGUCUGUUGGCUGCGGGAAGUUCGUUAAACCUUAUCAUUUAGAGGAAGGAGAAGUCGUAACA